UACGAAGGGGACUAGCGUUGUUCGGAAUCACUGGGCGUAAAGCGCACGUAGGCGGAUGUGUCAGUCAGGGGUGAAAUCCCGGGGCUCAACCUCGGAACUGCCUUUGAUACAGCACGUCUCGAGUCCGGAAGAGGUGGGUGGAAUUCCUAGUGUAGAGGUGAAAUUCGUAGAUAUUGGGAAGAACACCGGUGGCGAAGGCGGCGAGCUGGCCUGUUACUGACGCUGAGGCGCGACAGCGUGGGGAGCAAACAGG
rnacentral:rRNA from 1 species